rnacentral:lncRNA from 1 species
AGUUCUUUGAGGUAUUAAUUCAUUUUUUCGUUUCGAACAACUGUCAUUCCUUCAUUUUUAGGUACAACUUGUACACGACUUACCCACUCACUAUGCGGUACGGGAUAUAUAAUCCCUGCAUGCAAAAGCUUUAAAACCUCUUUCUUUACUACAUCUCUCAUCGCAUUCUAGAGUCUAUUCUGAGGCUCUCCUGAAGGUGUUAUUUCUGGAUUGGUUGGUAUGCGAUAAGUGCAAAGAACAGAGCUGAUCCUUUUUAGGUCUUGGAGUGAAUAACCAAAAGCAGCAUGGUGCUUUUCUAAAACCGUUAUUAGCUUAUAAGUCUCCUCAUCAGAGAGUUUAUCACUUAUAAUCACCAGAUAUUUUUUAUCAUUAUUUAGGAAAAC